rnacentral:rRNA from 1 species
UGGGGGAUAUUGCACAAUGGGCGAAAGCCUGAUGCAGCGACGCCGCGUGGGGGAUGAAGGCCUUCGGGUUGUAAACUUCUUUUGCUCUGAACAAGGCAUGCUAAUGGGUGUGUUGAGUGUAGGUGCUGAUUUGCGCCGGCUAACUACGUGCCAGCAGCCGCGGUAAUACGUAGGGCGCGAGCGUUGUCCGGAAUUAUUGGGCGUAAAGGGCUUGUAGGUGGCUGGUUGCGUCUGUCGUGAAAGCUCAUGGGUUAACUGUGGGUUGGCGGUGGGUACGGGCGGGCUUGAGAGACGGAGGUAAGGCUGGAAUUCCUGGUGUAGCGGUGGAAUGCGCAGAUAUCAGGAGGAAUACCGGUGGCGAAGGCGGGUCUCUGGGCUGUUACUGACACUGAGGAGCGAAAGCAUGGGGAGAGAGCAGG